UUGAUUCCUAAUAUUCAUAAUUAAUUCUUGUGCAGAAGAAAAUUUAUGAACUGUUUGAACACUAUAACAUGUCAUUACGGCACAAACAGUGUAACUUUGGUUGUGAUUUUGCCCUAUAAGAGUGAAAGGAACUAAAGUACGUGAUUAUAUUAAAGUGAAAUUUAUGCUGUGCUUUUGGUCUUGAUUUGUGACAUCUAAUUAGCACCUUUGCCUUCACGCCUCCAGCGCCCCUUGUCUGGUGUUCAUCCUGCCAGCACAGGGACCCCCAACCCCUUGGAAGGUAAACAAGAUAAACUACAGAAAGCUGUACAGCAUAUACUGUCUCUUCUGGAAGAGAUGAAAACUGACGUGAAAGACGUGAAAAAUAGGCUUGCGCAGAUGGAGUGCCAAACCCAAGAAAAGGAGCUGACAUCUGACACAAGGGUUACAGUUUCCCUUAAAAUCUUCAGAGGAUGUAGAAUGUCUCAAGUUGGAUUUAAAGACAGAUCCAGGAAAACGUGCACGCUUGGAAUGCUAUUUGGCGAUGAGGGGAGGCUUUAGCUUAAAGCUCGUAGUCAGGAGUAUACUGUCUGUGCUAUUUUCAACAGAAUUAGCCCGGUGUUACAACUAUAAUGGCCUGAAGGGAAAGAAGGGACUGAAGAACCACCCCUUUAUUUUAAGAACAGUUCAGGAUGCUGCAAGAACAAGUUAUCCUGAUGCUACGGAAGUGGAACUGCAAGUUCAGAUUUUGAGCUGGCUGACUGGGGCGAGAGAUCGCGAAAAUGGGAGAAAAGAAAGACUUUUAAAGCCUAUAAAUAAUUCUGGGGUUGAGGGUGAAUUACAGGAGAAUUAAAGCUGUAAAAAUUUCAACCGAUAUUUGUCUGGAAAACUCUGACAUAAACCUGUACAGGUCAAUGCUUUAAGAAUUUGUGUAAAUAAUCAUUUUUUAAAUUAACAAUUAAAUAAACAUCAGUAAACAAAAAGUUAUGUUUGUUUUUUGUAACAUUAUGGAUUUUUUAUGAACGUUUUUGCUGUUUCUUAUGCAAUCAUUGCAAGACACUCAUUAUUAAUCCAUUUAUUUUGCAUUUGUAGGGUUAUGUUGAUGUAGUUGAUAUUUUUUGCAAAUCAGAAUACACCAAAAUACCUAAAAUUACCAAUAGCAGCUGAAAAAGUGAUCUGGGAUUUGCCCAUAUUGCCUAUAUGGAAAAUCCCAUAUAGGACCCAUUGUUAACCCGUUUGCGCUUUCUACGUUGGGACCUAUAUAGGUUUACCAUAUGCCCCCUAGAUUCUGCUAUAUAGGGUCAACGUGGGUCCAUGUGGGUCCUGUUUUCUAAUGCUGAUUGGGUUAGUUAUUAGAGAACACUUCACCCGGUAUGCACAGGCCAUGCAUGGCAACCAAGAACAUGACAGCAA
rnacentral:lncRNA from 1 species